AUGGCUCAGGAUGAACGCUAGCGACAGGCUUAACACAUGCAGGUCGAGGGGCAGCAUAGAAGUAGCAAUACUUGGUGGCGACCGGCGCACGGGUGAGUAACGCGUAUGCAACCUACCUAUCAGAGGGGAAUAACCCGGCGAAAGUCGGACUAAUACCGCAUAAAACAGGGGCACCGCAUGGUGAUAUUUGUUAAAGAAAUUCGUUGAUAGAUGGGCAUGCGUUCCAUUAGGUAGUUGGUGAGGUAACGGCUCACCAAGCCGACGAUGGAUAGGGAACUGAGAGGUUGGUCCCCCACACUGGUACUGAGACACGGACCAGACUCCUACGGGAGGCAGCAGUGAGGAAUAUUGGUCAAUGGGCGGGAGCCUGAACCAGCCAAGUCGCGUGAAGGAAGAAGGAUCUAUGGUUCGUAAACUUCUUUUGCAGGGGAAUAAAGUGCAGGACGUGUCCUGUUUUGUAUGUACCCUGAGAAUAAGGAUCGGCUAACUCCGUGCCAGCCGCCGC
rnacentral:rRNA from 1 species